ensembl:lncRNA RRN3P3 RRN3 pseudogene 3
AGUGCCACCGCCGGGAGCCCCGGGUCUCGGCUUCAGCCCCGGGCUGAACAAGCAGGGAGGGGAGAGGCACUUAGGCCUCGCCUCCCCGCGGCCUUCCUCCCCCAGCCGGGGCGGAGGAGACCCAGGAAGCUGCGCCCGGCUCCCGGGGGUGGAGGGCCUAGGCCUCGGCCCGCCCGAGGCGGAGCCCGGGAGGUCGGGGCGGGGUCCCGGGCCGGUCACCCACCUGGGUUGCCAGUCAUUCCAGCUCCGCGAAUAGUUGGUGCCGUUGGUGCCGCCGCCGCCGCUCAGCCGAGACCCCGGGGCUCUGCGGCUCAUUACCUUCCCCGACACGACAUGGCCAAGCGCCGCCGCCCAGAGAAGCGCGAGUCGCCGCCCGAACCGGCCGCCGCCAACACCCCGCUCCGGCCCGGGGCUGAGGAGGAAGCCGAGAAGGAGGAGAAGGAGGAGGCGGCGGCGGGCGGGGGAAGAGGACGACCGUUCCGGGUUCCGCCUGAGCCCGCAGCACAGGACGAGGAGGCGGGAGCGGCGCGGUGAGAGAGAGGUGGAUGAAGGGGAGGCGACGUCUCUUCCAGGGCCGUGCGCGGCCCACGUCGCCGGGGCCGCGGAGGACGAGGACGACGAGGAGCAGGCGGUGGCGGCAGCUCCUCACGCUCACAAGGCCACUGCUAACCCGCCUCCCGGCUCCGCUGGCCGCGCCGCCGCUAUCGCACGGGAUUCGCAGAGGCAUUUUUGGAACAUCUUUGGAAAAAAUUGCAGGAUCCAAGUAAUCCUGCCAUCAUCAGGCAGGCUGCUGGAAAUUAUAUUGGAAGCUUUUUGGCAAGAGCUAAAUUUAUUCCUCUUAUUACUGUAAAACCAUGCCUAGAUCUUUUGGUUAACUGGCUGCACAUAUACCUUAAUAACCAGGAUUCGGGAACAAAGGCAUUCUGCAAUGUUGCUCUCCAUGGACCAUUUUACUCAGCCUGCCAAGCUGUGUUCUACACCUUUGUUUUUAGACACAAGCAGCUUUUGAGCGGAAACCUGAAAGAAGGUUUGCAGUAUCUUCAGAGUCUGAAUUUUGAGCGGAUAGUGAUGAGCCAGCUAAAUCCCCUGAAGAUUUGCCUGCCCUCAGUGGUUAACUUUUUUGCUGCAAUCACAAAUAAGUACCAGCUCGUCUUCUGCUACACCAUCAUCGAGAGGAACAAUCGCCAGAUGCUGCCAGUCAUUAGGAGUACCACUGGAGGAGACUCAGUGCAGACCUGCACAAACCCACUGGACACCUUCGUCCCCUUUGAUCCCUGUGUGCUGAAGAGGUGAGGUCUGUGCAGACCCUGGGUGAGGGGCGAGUUGGCUAUGGCCUGUUUAACUCCACCUGUGCAGACUGCAGCUCAGCCUCGUCCAUGCUUCGUGACUCAGCCUUGUCCUCAGGGAAGCUGGGGCUGGUGCAACUUUCAGAAGUGGUCCCAGUGCCGUUGGUGGUUGCCUGACGAAAAGCUGCACUUAAUAGAAAUCACUGUGGAUGCAGGAGAUGGACGGUGAUGAGCUCAGGACCAGCCAGCAACCCCAUCAGGCGGUAAUGCCUACCAUGGUCACCCAUGACUUCCUCUCGCCACUGCUCGGAGCUCCUGCAAAGCCACAGGCAACAACACAUUUCUGCUCCGUACGAGAAGCUCCUAUUGUAAGUCGGUGACAUGGCUGGGGUUUUCUCUCAGCAAAUAUUGAGCAAACACUGACUGUGCCAGGUGAUGUGCUGGGUCCCAAACCCUUCCCAGACCCAGCCCUGGCACUCACGGAGAUCCAGCUAGGAAGUCCGGGAAAAGGUCAUCGGGGAAAUAAACAAAGUCAAGCACAGUGGAUGAACGCGCUGCUGCCGCUCCCCACACCUCUUGUGGUGGACAUCACUUACGCUUCCUCAUGGUGCAUGUCACUUAUGCUUCCUGGUGCCCUCCCAGAUGACCCCCCCUUGGGCCACUACACACAGCUGCACCCGGCAAGAGCAGACAAGGAUGGUCUACUCACUGAGCCUGCAAGGCUGGUGUGCAGGACAGGCCAGCUACACUCCCCAGGUGUGUGCAAGACCGGGGACGAGUCAGUCAUUGGGAGGUGAGGUGCUCGGGCAGUGUGGGAUGGAGGAGGAGGGAGGGAAACUGAGUGUGGGCUCUUCGUAUUGGAGAGGAGGGGACGGCCAUGGCACAAAGACUCAGAUGGGAAAGUGUGAGAAAGCAGAGAUUUCAAAGGAGCUACGGUGGAGACCCACAGAAGAGGAAUGCUGAGGCUUUUCUGUCUGAAAUGCUGAAUAGACUCUAGCACACGCAAAACAGCCCACCACAGCGAGCUGCAGGAUUCUUCCGGGCUUUUAACAGUGGUCUUGUAAAAAAAAUUAGCCGGGCAUGGUUGUCCCAGCUACUCAGGAGGCAGAGAGGGGAGGAUGGCUUGCGCCCAGGAGGUUGAGGCUGCAGUGAGCCAUGAUCGCACCACUGCACUCCAGCCUGGGUGACAGAAUGAGACCCCUGACUCAAAAAAAAAAAAAAAAAAAAAAAAAAAAAAGACUGGAACAUUCAAAACCUGUUGAUGGGCUCAAGAAAUUCUCAAGAAAUUCUCUUGCCUCAGCCUCCUGAGUAGCUGGAACUACAGGUGUGCACCACCACAUGUGGCUAAUUUGUGUAUUUUUUGUAGAGACAGGGUCUUACCAUGUUGCCCAGUCUGGCCUUGAACUCCUGGACUCAAGGGAUCCAAUGACAGGCGAGAGCCACCAUGCCCAGCCACAUUUUUGCUAAAUUCUUUACACUGGUGAAUCUCAAAGAAUUCUCUGAUCAUCACACCAUAUCCUGCUAAGUGUGCAAUUAACCUGUGGACUUCAGUUGGACACUUUCAGAUUAGCAUUAGCUAUGUGGGGCCACCAAAUGCCAACUGUUAAAUUAUCACUCAAAGAUAAAUGACACUUGAGUGUGCUGUUUGAGUUUAUACCUCUAAAAAAUGCUUAUAGUACCAUGAGACUAGUGUGCCAACGUGUCUGGCUGCCAACGUGUCUAUAGCUGAGCCAAUAAGAAUUAGUCUCUAGAGCCUCUGUUUCCAAGGAAGUCAAUCUCUAGAUUCCCACAUUGGCUGCAUGAUGGAAUAAGCCAGGGGCUACGAAAAAUACUGAUGCCUGUUGAAGCUUGGAGGAGCUGGGGUUGGGGUGUAGGGCAGUGAUGAUCACAUAUGAAUAGAACUGGGAGUCUUUAGUGUUACUGGUGGCAAUGUUGAAAUGCAUGAGGGUUGUUUAUUGUAUAAUGAAGUAUUUUUCACAUGAAGUCAUAUGAAGUAUUCCAUUCCACUGUAUUUGUUCUUAUUUUAACGAUACAACUAGGUAAUAAAGGAAAUGAAGUAUUGUUUUAUAUUUUAAAAAAA